ACACACACACACACACACACACACACACACACACACACACACAGACUCAGGAUAGGAAGCGCCUUCACUUCACUUCGUCUGAUGGACGCUGAAGUUCAUGAAGCUCAGACGAGGCUGCUACUGAUGAAGCUCACGGCUAACAGUUCACAGGUGGUUGUGUGUGUGUGAAGGUGUGGGCUCUGCUAUGAAUCCCUGUGAGGACACUGAACCCGCUCUGAGUGGGGACCCUGAACGCCUCACCAAAGCUCAGAGCCCAGAGCAGCAUGGACCUGGACCUGGACCUGGACCUGGA